CAUCCAAGACUACUGCUGUGGCUAUGGCAGCGAGAAUUUACUUUAGUAUGUCUGUAGCUGUUGGCUGCUUUGAUUGCGGACAGCAUGUACGAGAAAUCAAAAGGAAAAGUGAAGAGGAGAGAGAAUACUGACAAGAGGGGAGAUGGCAGGACAAAUAUCCUAGGAGUCCUGCUUUCCAUGAUCAGCUAAGUAUACACAGGUGAAGCAUCCAAAAAAUGUUCAAUAAAAAUGUUUAAAAGCAACUCAUUAGGCUGACAUUUCC
rnacentral:lncRNA from 1 species